UUGCAGAAUUAGUUGAUACGUCAACGAUCAAUGAAAUCAUUUUUUCUUGUUCGUCGACAAUCAUCAGCAUUGGGUCUACAGAAAUGACGUUUACAGGUUGAUGGAAGUUGGCGAAAUCAUCUGCGUCGUUCACCGCUGCCUUCGACGUGUCAUCGUUAUGCGCAACACUUUCCUUUUGUUGGAAAUCAAUUUGAAGAUUAUGUGUGGAGUAUUUCAUAUUAUCUUUUGAAGAAGCUUCACUUUCUGGUUCCACGUCUACUUCAUCCAUCUCUAUCACUUUGAACCGAAUGCGCUUAUGCUUGCAUGAUCUGGAGUAAAAAGUUCAUCCCAUAACAAACACAAACCCCUUUCCAUUUUUCUUCAACUUCAAGUGCGCUCAGAAUUUUCAAAAUUUUCAUGGAUUAUGGUUAGUAGCCAUCAAAAGCGCUGAAUCGAAGGCUCAAGAUACCAAUUGUAACGGGAAAAUAGAUUUUAGGGACAAAACCGAUAGAAUCAAGUCUCAAAGUAGGAAUUCUAAUGAUUUGAAUAGAAUUCGGUACAACUGAGAAAUGUAAAGAUAAAUUGAGAGUUGUUUUUGAGAGUAGAAAGUAAUUGUUCAUUCAUUGAUUGAUUUUCAAAAUGAUGCACAAUGCCUUUAAAUAUGUGACAGGAAUUAGGUAUAGUUUAAUAGUUUAUUUUAAAUAAAUAGUUUUAUUUAUGUCAAUUUACCUUUUUAGCCUUUGUGGUUGUAUUUAAAGGCAUUGUGCCUCAUUUUGAAAAUCAAUCAAUGAAUGAACAAUUAUUUUCUCCUCUCAAAAACAACUCUCAAUUUAUUUUUACAUUUCUCAUUUGUACCGAAUUCUAUUCAAAUCAUUAGAAUUCCUACUUUGAGGCUUGAUUCUAUCGGUUUGAAAAUAAAUAAAACUAUUUAUUUAAAAUAAACUAUUAAACUAUACCUAAUUCCUGUCACAAAAUACAACCACAAAGGCUAAAAAGGUAAAUUGAC
rnacentral:lncRNA from 1 species